rnacentral:rRNA from 1 species
UGAGGAAUAUUGGUCAAUGGGUGCAAGCCUGAACCAGCCAUCCCGCGUGAAGGACGACUGCCCUAUGGGUUGUAAACUUCUUUUGUAUAGGGAUAAACCUACCCUCGUGAGGGUAGCUGAAGGUACUAUACGAAUAAGCACCGGCUAACUCCGUGCCAGCAGCCGCGGUAAUACGGAGGGUGCAAGCGUUAUCCGGAUUUAUUGGGUUUAAAGGGUCCGUAGGCGGAAUUAUAAGUCAGUGGUGAAAGCCUGUCGCUUAACGAUAGAACUGCCAUUGAUACUGUAAGUCUUGAGUAUAUUUGAGGUAGCUGGAAUAAGUAGUGUAGCGGUGAAAUGCAUAGAUAUUACUUAGAACACCAAUUGCGAAGGCAGGUUACCAAGAUAUAACUGACGCUGAGGGACGAAAGCGUGGGGAGCGAACA